UUUGCAUUCAAUAUAGGCUUUUUCACACCUCUCAACAUAAAACGCUCUUUUAAAUAAAAUGAAUCCUUUUAAGAUCUUUCUUUUUUGCUUCGGCAUUUUAGGAGAUCUUGUUACUUUGAGUAAAUUAGAGUGUUCAAAGCAAACAGAUUAUAGCAUCUUUAUGCGUUUGAAUACUACAGCAUGGAAUAACAAAAUUGAACAAGUCAGAAUUUUGUUCUUUUUUCUUAUUUUGGCUUAGUUACGAUUAAUAGGAGUAGCUUGGGGGCAUUUGUAUUCAGAUGUCAGAGGUGAAAUUCUUAGAUUUUCUGGAGACAAACAACUGCGAAAGCAUUUGCCUAAAAUACUUCCAUUAAUCAAGAACGAAAGUUAAGGGAGUGAAGACGAUCAGAUACCGUCGUAAUCUUAACCAUAAACUAUGCCGACUAGGCUUUUGAUGAAUCAUUUUAAAAUAAGAGUUUUUUCUCUGAGGAGUUAAAACUCUUAUAUGGCAGAU
rnacentral:rRNA from 1 species